AAACAGAUGACAAGCAAUAAAAUGACAGUGUUAAGCCCUCAUGUAUUAGUAAUCAGUCUAAAUGUAAAUGGACUGAAUUCACCAAUCAGGAAACACAGAGUGGCUGGAUAGAUUAAAAAACAUGACCCAACAAUAUGCUGCCUCCAGGAAACACAUCUCAACUCUCAAGAUAAACCU